CUGAAAAUAUCCUCGCUGUUCUGAUUUUGUGAUAAUCAGGGCAGGCUAAACAUUCACUUUAUUAGGAUCAUGCAUGUGUCCCCAGACCUAGGUUUUCCCUAGGUCUGGUUUUUAAAAUGCUGGUGAUAAAC
rnacentral:snoRNA from 1 species